UACGUAGGGGGCUAGCGUUGUCCGGAAUCAUUGGGCGUAAAGAGCGUGUAGGCGGCCCGGUAAGUCCGCUGUAAAAGUCAAAGGCUCAACCUUUGAAUGUCAGUGGAUACUGCCGGGCUAGAGUCCGGAAGAGGCGAGUGGAACUCCUGGUGUAGCGGUGGAAUGCGCAGAUAUCAGGAGGAACACCCAUUGCGAAGGCAGCUCGCUGGGACGUUACUGACGCUGAGGUGCGAAAGCGUGGGGAGCAAACAGG
rnacentral:rRNA from 1 species